UUCCGGUUGAUCCUGCCGGACCCAACUGCUAUCAGAGUGGGACUAAGCCUUGCGAGUCAAACGCCUCUCGACCACGUGAGAGGCGUGGCGGACGGCUCAGUAACACGUAGCCAACCUACUCUGAAGACGUGGAUAACCCCGGGAAACUGGGACUAAUCCACGAUAGAUCAAVACACCUGGAAUGGGUCUUGAUCGAAAGGGUCAGAAGGGCAUGUCCUUCUGACCGCUUCAGAAUGGGGCUGCGGCCGAUCAGGUAGUUGGUGGGGUAAUGGCCCACCAAGCCUAUAACCGGUACGGGCUUUGGAAGAAGGAGCCCGGAGAUGGACACUGAGAUAAGGGUCCAGGCCCUACGGGGCGCAGCAGGCGCGAAACCUUCGCAAUGCGCGAAAGCGCGACGAGGCUACUCUGAGUGCCAUCCGCUGAGGAUGGCUUUUCUCGGGUCUAAAAAGCCCGAGGAAUAAGGGGAGGGCAAGUCUGGUGUCAGCCGCCGCGGUAAUACCAUCUCCUCGAGUGGUUGGGGCGUUUAUUGGGCCUAAAGCAUCCGUAGCCGGCUCCAUAGGUCCUUCKUUAAAUCCAACGGCUCAACCGUUGGGCUGCGAAGGAUACCGUGGGGCUAGGGAGCGGGAGAGGCGGACGGUACUCCGUGGGUAGGGGUAAAAUCCUCUGAUCCACGGAAGACCACCAGUGGCGAAGGCGGUCCNCCAGAACG
rnacentral:rRNA from 1 species